rnacentral:rRNA from 1 species
AGCGAACGCUGGCGGCAUGCCUAACACAUGCAAGUCGAACGAGACCUUCGGGUCUAGUGGCGCACGGGUGCGUAACGCGUGGGAAUCUGCCCUUCGGUUGGGAAUAACUGAGAGAAAUUUCAGCUAAUACCUUAUAAUGUCUUCGGACCAAAGAUUUAUCGCCGAGGGAUGAGCCCGCGUAGGAUUAGCUAGUUGGUGGGGUAAUGGCCUACCAAGGCGACGAUCCUUAGCUGGUCUGAGAGGAUGAUCAGCCACACUGGGACUGAGACACGGCCCAGACUCCUACGGGAGGCAGCAGUGGGGAAUAUUGGACAAUGGGCGAAAGCCUGAUCCAGCAAUGCCGCGUGAGUGAUGAAGGCCUUAGGGUUGUAAAGCUCUUUUACCCGGGAUGAUAAUGACAGUACCGGGAGAAUAAGCUCCGGCUAACUCCGUGCCAGCAGCCGCCGUAA